AUCAUGUUGAUUUGUUGCUCAUAUUCCUUUUCUCAUGUAGGUUAACUGGAGCUGUUCACAGUAUAGUCCCUCAGGAAGCCAAGACUGAUGGAGACCUAUUUGUAUUCUACUCCCUUGAUUUCCAGAAAUGGGUUUGGAGGUUGAGACUACAGUAAACCACACAAGAGUGUGAGUUUCUACCUGGAAAUAACAGAUGUCACUCUCCUCACAUUUCAUUGCCCAAAGCAAGAAUUACAGUUUAACAGGGGCAAGGAGAGAGGCUGACAACUGAACUCAACCUUCAAGCAUGGCUCCUAGGAAUCUGUGGAGGAAGUGGCCAUGACCUUUCUUCCUGCUUCACUGGUUUCUGAGGACCUUCCGUCUCCUUGCACAGCUCUGUGGAAGGAAUAGUUCGAACAGUCCUCGACUGGAAUUUCUGACAUGCAUAGCACAACGACAAACUAAGCAACAUGAUAGCCAUUUGGAGUAUCUAAAACUGUUCCUUCUGAGAAGGGAGAGACCACCACCAAGACUGAACUUUUCAUGAUGAUUAUUUCCAUGAUUAGUUGCCUCAUCCUCUCAUGUCCAGUUCCCUGCCAAACCUGGGAGAAGAGAUGAAUAUAAGGGUCAUUUGUGAAUAGAAGUGGCCUGAUGCAUGACAAUAGAGUGACGGCUAUAAGGACCACUUUCUGGAGUCGGGCAGCCAAACUGUGAUUCUACUCUUUCGGUUCUACGAUUUGGGCAAUAUUGUGGAUCUCUUUGAUACUUUUGUUUCCCCAUAAGUAAAAACAGGAUAAUAUAAUGUCCACGUUGUUGUGCAGAUUAAGAAAAACCUUGCAGCUACUAAAUCGUCAAUCCCUAUUAACUUUUAAGCAGAUAGUGUUGCACAGCAGUUAAGAAUGAAAGCCCUGGAGCCAGACUGCCUUGGUUUCAAUCCCAAUACUGUCACUUACUGUGUGGUUUUUGGCAAGUUAUUUAUUCUCUCUAUGUCCCAGUUCCCUCUUGUGCCCAAAGGGGAUAUGAUAUCCAUUAGUACUGAUGUAAGGAUUUAAUGACUCAACAUAUGGGUGGCUCAGGACAGCUCCAAUUUUUGCCUUUUUCUUAGUAUUCAGAUUGGCUUAGCAUUUGCAACUCCCCUUUAACUCUCAAAAGUGUCCCAGGUUGGACAGUUAAGUACAUGAUCACGUAGCUAAUGUAUAUAUCAGUGAUGGUGAACCUUUUAGAGACCAGUGCUCAAAUUGUAACCCAAAACCCAGUUAUUUAUUACAAAAUGCCAACACUGUGAUUAAACCUAAGUACUGAAGUUUUAGUUUAGAAAAAAACAACUCAUACAUUAAUGUCUUCUGUCUUAAAAACAAAUAAACACGUCAUAGGUUCACCACCUCUGGUAAAUACCAUUUAGAAAAUGGCCUGGUAUAGAGUAGAUGCUAAAUGUGUGUUAGCUGCUAAAAGAAAUAUGAUGUAAGCUAUACAAUAAUUUUUAAUUUUUCAGUAAUCACAUUUUUAAAAAUAAGAAAACAUAUAGGUUAACAAAUAGUGUUAAUAAUAUCCCAAACAUUAGUAUUUCUAUAUGAAAUAUAGAAAGUAUUAAUGAAACUUUAUUCAGGUUUUUAUUCUUACUGACCCUGGAAUCUGGUGUAUUUUUCAUAUACUGUACCAUAUAGCACAUUUCAAUUGAGACUAGCAACAUUUCCAGUGCCCAGUGGCCCUGUGUAUGUCGUGGCUACCAUAUUGGGUGGCAUGGCUCUAAGGAUCUGCAUUCCUCAUGUGUGGUGAUGGGCCAGAGUCUUAAGUCCUUCCAGGUCUGUACUUCCAUGAUUGAGAUGUUCGUCUUCUCUGCCAUAGUCUGCAAGGAGGCCACCGAUAUAGGGUUUUGGAGUCCAUUUAUUACCAAAUAUCAUAGCUUUAAUCUACUGAGUAGGUGGCUUCCUCGCAAGUGAGUAUUUAUAGGCUCC